rnacentral:rRNA from 1 species
GUGGCUUCUGUUCGCCAUUGGUCCGUGUCUCAGCUUGAUGUGAAGAAUGCCUUUUUAAAUGGUGAGUUGCGCGAGGAGGUUUAUAUGCAACCGCCACCUGGGUAUUCUGUUCCUGAUGACAUGGUUUGUCGUCUUCGCCGCUCUCUUUAUGGCCUUAAGCAAGCCCCCCGUGCCUGGUUUGAGCGCUUCGCUUCUGUGGUGACUGCUGCUGGUUUUUCGCCCAGUGCUCAUGAUCCAGCAUUGUUUGUCCACCUUUCUGCUCGUGGUAGGACUCUUCUUCUUCUAUAUGUUGAUGGCAUGAUCAUC